rnacentral:rRNA from 1 species
UACGGGGGGGGCUAGUGUUGUUCGGAAUUACUGGGCGUAAAGCGUGCGUAGACGGCUAUCUAAGUCGGGUGUGAAAGCCCCGGGCUCAACCUGGGAAUUGCAUUCGAGACUGAAUAGCUAGGGUACGGUAGAGGGAAGUGGAAUUUCCGGUGUAGCGGUGAAAUGCGUAGAUAUCUGGAGGAACACCGGUGGCGAAGGCGGCAUCCUGGACCGGUAUUGACGCUGAGGCGCGAAAGCCAGGGGAGCAAACGGG